rnacentral:tRNA from 1 species
UCUCGAUUGGUCUAGUGGUCAGGAUACCUGCUUGUCAUCGUACAAUUCGCAGGUGGCCGGGGUUCGAUUCCCCGAUCGAGAG